ACGUAGGGUGCGAGCGUUGUCCGGAUUUAUUGGGCGUAAAGGGCUCGUAGGUGGUUGAUCGCGUCGGAAGUGUAAUCUUGGGGCUUAACCCUGAGCGUGCUUUCGAUACGGGUUGACUUGAGGAAGGUAGGGGAGAAUGGAAUUCCUGGUGGAGCGGUGGAAUGCGCAGAUAUCAGGAGGAACACCAGUGGCGAAGGCGGUUCUCUGGGCCUUUCCUGACGCUGAGGAGCGAAAGCGUGGGGAGCGAACAGGCUUAGAUACCCUGGUAGUCCACGCUGUAAACGGUGGGUACUAGGUGUGGGGUCCAUUCCACGGGUUCCGUGCCGUAGCUAACGCUUUAAGUACCCCGCCUGGGGAGUACGGCCGCAAGGCUAAAACUCAAAGGAAUUGACGGGGCCCCGCACAAGCGGCGGAGCAUGCGGAUUAAUUCGAUGCAACGCGUAGAACCUUACCUGGGUUUGACAUGGAUCGGGAGUGCUCAGAGAUGGGUGUGCCUCUUUUGGGGUCGGUUCACAGGUGGUGCAUGGCUGUCGUCAGCUCGUG
rnacentral:rRNA from 1 species